AUGGCGCGGCGCGGGCGUGUGGAGCUGCGGCGGAUCGAGGACCGGACCAACCGGCAGGUGUGCUUCUCCAAGCGCCGCUCGGGGCUCUUCAAGAAGGCCUUCGAGCUCUCGCUCCUCUGCGACGCCGAUGUCGCGCUGCUCGUCUUCUCCCCCGCCGGAAAGCUCUACGAGUACUCCUCCUCCAGCAUAGAAGCUACAUAUGAUCGCUAUCAGAGAUUUGCGGGACCCGGAAUGAACGUGAAUGGAGGCGAUGCAAGGAACAAAAAUGAUGGUGAUCCUUCAAACAUACAGUCAAGGCUUGAAGACAUCGCUUCCUGGUCUCUUCAAAAUAAUGCUGAUGACUCCGAUGCCACUAAGCUGGAGAAACUGGAGAAACUCUUGACAGAUGCUUUGAGGAAUACAAAAUCCAAGAAGAUGUUGGCGCAACUAAAUAGCGGCGCAAGCACGAGUGCAAGCGCCCAGAACUCCAAUGGCCCUAGGGGACUGGAAGGAGGAAGGACUUGA
rnacentral:rRNA from 1 species